CCGGUGGUAGCGGCUGCAGAUGCCACUAGAUGCCACUAGCUACCACAGAUGCCUCGGAAAGUAGUGGCAUCUGCAGCUGCCACCGGAAGUACCUGCCACUGCUUCCAAAUGCCACAAAAUGCGCUUGCUCUCUCUGCAAGUCAAAGCACUGCACUCGAUUGCUUUAUCCAAAAUGUCCUCAACUUUGAACAACCUUCAAAUUAUUGUGCAGAAUAUAUCUGAAAACCGUUCAUGGGGUAAAUGUUACGCCGUCAAGCUCACGGACAGGAAGUGUGGAGACAAUUCUGACAUGCGGGUAUCUCCAUGGGUAUCACGGAGGGAGUCACCGAGGAAGGCCAAGCGGGACGAUCCAGAUGAGAAGUAUCGUGGAGAUGCAAAGGAAUAACUAUUGUGGUUUCCUGCUUGUUCGCCCCCUGCAACAUAUCUGUCACCACCCGAAAGAAGACAAUGGGCCAACCGUGAUUUCAGACGACCUGAUUCCAAGAGACACAGGUGUGACUGCAGCCAUUACAGCCAUUGUGACCAAAGCAGAUACAGACCAAGGAGAUGCAAACCAAAGAUAUACAGGCCAAGUGGAACAUCAUUGGAGCACCUUUCUGUGGCCAUGCAGUCCACCAAGUGGUACCAGGUUGUUGGGAGCAUGCAGGGCAGCCUCGGCAAAGCCCGGGGGAGGCACCAGAAGACGUCUUGGAUGUGCCAGAGAUGCGAGGUUCCGCUGUGUCUGAUGCCAUACAGGAAUUGCUACACCGAAUGGCAUGGGCUCAGAGGAAAGGCAGGAAACUUAUGUUAAGUCUAUGUUAACUUCUAAGUUAUUUUCUUACUUUCACAUUUCCAAGUGAGUUGCUGACAUUUAAUGCAGAAUAUGGAUAUGAUGUUUACGAGACACCUUUUUUCUUUGCUUACUCCAAGUGGUUCUUCAAAGUUCUCUUGUUUUUUUUUAAGAAAAAUAUCUUCAAAAGUUGCUGUGGAGAAAAGCCUUUUGUUGGGGGUGGUCUCCUCGUCUGCAUUCUGUUACCAUGCGUAUUCCCAAUGUGUUUAUAUAUUUUAGGGAGAAAAAUAUUUAUUGCUUUAUUUGUUUCUAAUUAAAUUGCAAUUAAGUCA